AAAGUCGUAACAAGGUUUCCGUAGGUGAACCUGCGGAAGGAUCAUUAAUGAAUCGUAAGGACGCUCUUUUUAGAGGUCCGACCCCUUCAUUUCCUUACACUGUGCACACACUUCUUUUUACACACUUUUAACACAUCAGUUUAAGAAUGUAAACAGUCUCUUAAUUGAGCAUAAAAUAAAUAAAACUUUCAGCAACGGAUCUCUUGGCUCUC
rnacentral:misc_RNA from 1 species